ACGCUGGCGGCAGGCCUAACACAUGCAAGUCGAACGGAAACAUGUCUAGCUUGCUAGAUGAUGUCGAGUGGCGGACGGGUGAGUAAUGCUUGGGAACUUGCCUUUGCGAGGGGGAUAACAGUUGGAAACGACUGCUAAUACCGCAUAAUGUCUUCGGACCAAACGGGGCUUCGGCUCCGGCGCAAAGAGAGGCCCAAGUGAGAUUAGCUAGUUGGUGAGGUAAAGGCUCACCAAGGCAACGAUCUCUAGCUGUUCUGAGAGGAAGAUCAGCCACACUGGGACUGAGACACGGCCCAGACUCCUACGGGAGGCAGCAGUGGGGAAUAUUGCACAAUGGGGGAAACCCUGAUGCAGCCAUGCCGCGUGUGUGAAGAAGGCCUUCGGGUUGUAAAGCACUUUCAGUUGUGAGGAAAAGUUAGUAGUUAAUACCUGCUAGCCGUGACGUUAACAACAGAAGAAGCACCGGCUAACUCCGUGCCAGCAGCCGCGGUAAUACGGAGGGUGCGAGCGUUAAUCGGAAUUACUGGGCGUAAAGCGCACGCAGGCGGUUUGUUAAGCUAGAUGUGAAAGCCCCGGGCUCAACCUGGGACGGUCAUUUAGAACUGGCAGACUAGAGUCUUGGAGAGGGGAGUGGAAUUCCAGGUGUAGCGGUGAAAUGCGUAGAUAUCUGGAGGAACAUCAGUGGCGAAGGCGACUCCCUGGCCAAAGACUGACGCUCAUGUGCGAAAGUGUGGGUAGCGAACAGGAUUAGAUACCCUGGUAGUCCACACCGUAAACGCUGUCUACUAGCUGUUUGUGGCUUUAAGCCGUGAGUAGCGAAGCUAACGCGAUAAGUAGACCGCCUGGGGAGUACGGCC
rnacentral:rRNA from 1 species